AUUGAACGCUGGCGGCAUGCCUUACACAUGCAAGUCGAACGGCAGCGGGGGAGAAGCUUGCUUUUCCUGCCGGCGAGUGGCGAACGGGUGAGUAAUACAUCGGAACGUGCCCUGUAGUGGGGGAUAACUAGUCGAAAGAUUAGCUAAUACCGCAUACGACCUGAGGGUGAAAGUGGGGGACCGCAAGGCCUCAUGCUCUAGGAGCGGCCGAUGUCUGAUUAGCUAGUUGGUGGGGUAAAGGCCUACCAAGGCGACGAUCAGUAGCUGGUCUGAGAGGACGAUCAGCCACACUGGGACUGAGACACGGCCCAGACUCCUACGGGAGGCAGCAGUGGGGAAUUUUGGACAAUGGGCGAAAGCCUGAUCCAGCAAUGCCGCGUGUGUGAAGAAGGCCUUCGGGUUGUAAAGCACUUUUGUCCGGAAAGAAAUGGCUCUGGUUAAUACCUGGGUCGAUGACGGUACCGGAAGAAUAAGGACCGGCUAACUACGUGCCAGCCGCCGCGGUAA
rnacentral:rRNA from 1 species